rnacentral:rRNA from 1 species
GAUGAACGCUGGCGGCGUGCCUAAUACAUGCAAGUCGAGCGAACGGACGAGAAGCUUGCUUCUCUGAUGUUAGCGGCGGACGGGUGAGUAACACGUGGAUAACCUACCUAUAAGACUGGGAUAACUUCGGGAAACCGGAGCUAAUACCGGAUAAUAUUUUGAACCGCAUGGUUCAAAAGUGAAAGACGGUCUUGCUGUCACUUAUAGAUGGAUCCGCGCUGCAUUAGCUAGUUGGUAAGGUAACGGCUUACCAAGGCAACGAUGCAUAGCCGACCUGAGAGGGUGAUCGGCCACACUGGAACUGAGACACGGUCCAGACUCCUACGGGAGGCAGCAGUAGGGAAUCUUCCGCAAUGGGCGAAAGCCUGACGGAGCAACGCCGCGUGAGUGAUGAAGGUCUUCGGAUCGUAAAACUCUGGUACUAGGGAAGAACAUAUGUGUAAGUAACUGUGCACAUCUUGACGGUACCUAAUCAGAAAGCCACGGCUAACUACGUG